GUGAAAGUAGCUCAGCUGGCAGAGCUCCGGAUUGUGGUUCCGGUUGUCGCGGGUUCGAGCCCCGUCUUUCACC
rfam:Candidatus Margulisbacteria bacterium GWE2_39_32 gwe2_scaffold_1647, whole genome shotgun sequence.